UUGUGGAUUUUCUGGGAAUCUUGUUAAAAAAAAUGCAAGUUCUGAUCCAGUAAAACUGGAGCAUUACCUGAGAUUCUGCAUUUAUAGCAAGCUCCCAGAUGAUGCCAGU
rnacentral:miRNA from 1 species